UUUACCCGCUGAAACUUAAGCAUAUCAAUAAGCGGAGGAAAAGAAACCAACAGGGAUUGCCCUAGUAACGGCGAGUGAAGCGGCAACAGCUCAAAUUUGAAAUCUGGCGUCUUUGGCGUCCGAGUUGUAAUUUGCAGAGGGCGCUUUGGCAUUGGCAGCGGUCCAAGUUCCUUGGAACAGGACGUCACAGAGGGUGAGAAUCCCGUACGUGGUCGCUAGCCUUUACCGUGUAAAGCCCCUUCGACGAGUCGAGUUGUUUGGGAAUGCAGCUCUAAAUGGGAGGUAAAUUUCUUCUAAAGCUAAAUACUGGCCAGAGACCGAUAGCGCACAAGUAGAGUGAUCGAAAGAUGAAAAGCACUUUGGAAAGAGAGUUAAAAAGCACGUGAAAUUGUUGAAAGGGAAGCGCUUGCAGCCAGACUUGCCUGUAGUUGCUCAUCUGGGUUUUUACCCAGUGCACUCUUCUAUAGGCAGGCCAGCAUCAGUUUGGGCGGUUGGAUAAAGGUCUCUGUCAUGUACCUCUCUUCGGGGAGAUCUUAUAGGGGAGACGACAUGCAACCAGCCUGGACUGAGGUCCGCGCAUCUGCUAGGAUGCUGGCGUAAUGGCUGUAAGCGGCCCGUCUUGAAACACGGACCAAGGAGUCUAACAUCUAUGCGAGUGUUUGGGUGUCAAGCCCGAGCGCGUAAUGAAAGUGAACGGAGGUGGGAACCUUUCGGGGUGCACCAUCGACCGAUCCUGAUGUCUUCGGAUGGAUUUGAGUAAGAGCAUAGCUGUUGGGACCCGAAAGAUGGUGAACUAUGCUUGAAUAGGGUGAAGCCAGAGGAAACUCUGGUGGAGGCUCGCAGCGGUUCUGACGUGCAAAUCGAUCGUCAAAUUUGGGCAUAGGGGCGAAAGACUAAUCGAACUAUCUAGUAGCUGGUUCCUGCCGAAGUUCCCCUCAGGAUAAA
rnacentral:rRNA from 1 species